AUGAGACCAUUCUUUCGUAGACACAUCCUAAAUGUUCCUGAUCAUAGGAUUGCCAAUUGGGCAUUGACAGUUGAUCGGAUGAUAUUUAUAUAUAUUUUUACUUCGAAUUCACUCGUCUUUUCUUAGUUAGUUCCUUAUAUUUUUAAGCUAUUUACGUUAUUUUUGUGUUUAUAGGAUUUGUUAUGCAAAGAAAAUAAAAAUAGAACAAGUGAAAUUUUAUGUAAUAAAUUCGUCAAAAGCAAAUUUAAAUUACAAUUUUGCUAAUCCAUUGUGACGCUAAAUGAUAAACCAAUUUUUAAACUAUACAUUUCAUCCUUUUAUAAUUCUUUUCUUGUCUAAUUUAGUUGGAAGCUUUAAGUAUUUAUGAUACUUUUGAUAUAUUGUGUUUGUAGGAGUAACAUGAUCAAAAGAACUUAUUUUUCUACUAUGUGGGGCUGCUAGAAACUAAAUGAAAAUAAAAGGAGACAGCUAAGAGGGAAUGAGUAAGCUGCCCUUGCAGCUUUGAAAAGUCAAAAGGAAAUGGCAUAAAAAAAUAACAAAAGGAGACGUGGGCGGAAAGAGCUGCCUGGCAGCUUUGAACAACAAUAAAAAUAGAAGAGAGCAGU
rnacentral:lncRNA from 1 species